rnacentral:rRNA from 1 species
CACGGUGGAUGCCUUGGCACUAGAAGCCGAUGAAGGACGUUACUAACGACGAUAUGCUUUGGGGAGCUGUAAGUAAGCUUUGAUCCAGAGAUUUCCGAAUGGGGAAACCCAGCAUGAGUUAUGUCAUGUUAUCGAUAUGUGAAUACAUAGCAUAUCAGAAGGCACACCCGGAGAACUGAAACAUCUUAGUACCCGGAGGAAGAGAAAGAAAAUUCGAUUCCCUUAGUAGCGGCGAGCGAAACGGGAAGAGCCCAAACCAACAAGCUUGCUUGUUGGGGUUGUAGGACACUCUAUACGGAGUUACAAAGGACGACAUUAGACGAAUCAUCUGGAAAGAUGAAUCAAAGAAGGUAAUAAUCCUGUAGUCGAAAAUGUUGUCUCUCUUGAGUGGAUCCUGAGUACGACGGAGCACGUGAAAUUCCGUCGGAAUCUGGGAGGACCAUCUCCUAAGGCUAAAUACUCUCUAGUGACCGAUAGUGAACCAGUACCGUGAGGGAAAGGUGAAAAGCACCCCGGAAGGGGAGUGAAAUAGAACCUGAAACCGUGUGCUUACAAGUAGUCAGAGCCCGUUAAUGGGUGAUGGCGUGCCUUUUGUAGAAUGAACCGGCGAGUUACGAUUUGAUGCAAGGUUAAGCAGUAAAUGUGGAGCCGUAGCGAAAGCGAGUCUGAAUAGGGCGUUUAGUAUUUGGUCGUAGACCCGAAACCAGGUGAUCUACCCUUGGUCAGGUUGAAGUUCAGGUAACACUGAAUGGAGGACCGAACCGACUUACGUUGAAAAGUGAGCGGAUGAACUGAGGGUAGCGGAGAAAUUCCAAUCGAACCUGGAGAUAGCUGGUUCUCUCCGAAAUAGCUUUAGGGCUAGCCUCAAGUGAUGAUUAUUGGAGGUAGAGCACUGUUUGGACGAGGGGCCCCUCUCGGGUUACCGAAUUCAGACAAACUCCGAAUGCCAAUUAAUUUAACUUGGGAGUCAGAACAUGGGUGAUAAGGUCCGUGUUCGAAAGGGAAACAGCCCAGACCACCAGCUAAGGUCCCAAAAUAUAUGUUAAGUGGAAAAGGAUGUGGCGUUGCCCAGACAACUAGGAUGUUGGCUUAGAAGCAGCCAUCAUUUAAAGAGUGCGUAAUAGCUCACUAGUCGAGUGACACUGCGCCGAAAAUGUACCGGGGCUAAACAUAUUACCGAAGCUGUGGAUUGUCCUUUGGACAAUGGUAGGAGAGCGUUCUAAGGGCGUUGAAGCAUGAUCGUAAGGACAUGUGGAGCGCUUAGAAGUGAGAAUGCCGGUGUGAGUAGCGAAAGACGGGUGAGAAUCCCGUCCACCGAUUGACUAAGGUUUCCAGAGGAAGGCUCGUCCGCUCUGGGUUAGUCGGGUCCUAAGCUGAGGCCGACAGGCGUAGGCGAUGGAUAACAGGUUGAUAUUCCUGUACCACCUAUAAUCGUUUUAAUCGAUGGGGGGACGCAGUAGGAUAGGCGAAGCGUGCGAUUGGAUUGCACGUCUAAGCAGUAAGGCUGAGUAUUAGGCAAAUCCGGUACUCGUUAAGGCUGAGCUGUGAUGGGGAGAAGACAUUGUGUCUUCGAGUCGUUGAUUUCACACUGCCGAGAAAAGCCUCUAGAUAGAAAAUAGGUGCCCGUACCGCAAACCGACACAGGUAGUCAAGAUGAGAAUUCUAAGGUGAGCGAGCGAACUCUCGUUAAGGAACUCGGCAAAAUGACCCCGUAACUUCGGGAGAAGGGGUGCUCUUUAGGGUUAACGCCCAGAAGAGCCGCAGUGAAUAGGCCCAAGCGACUGUUUAUCAAAAACACAGGUCUCUGCUAAACCGUAAGGUGAUGUAUAGGGGCUGACGCCUGCCCGGUGCUGGAAGGUUAAGAGGAGUGGUUAGCUUCUGCGAAGCUACGAAUCGAAGCCCCAGUAAACGGCGGCCGUAACUAUAACGGUCCUAAGGUAGCGAAAUUCCUUGUCGGGUAAGUUCCGACCCGCACGAAAGGCGUAACGAUUUGGGCACUGUCUCAACGAGAGACUCGGUGAAAUCAUAGUACCUGUGAAGAUGCAGGUUACCCGCGACAGGACGGAAAGACCCCGUGGAGCUUUACUGUAGCCUGAUAUUGAAAUUCGGCACAGCUUGUACAGGAUAGGUAGGAGCCUUUGAAACGUGAGCGCUAGCUUACGUGGAGGCGCUGGUGGGAUACUACCCUAGCUGUGUUGGCUUUCUAACCCGCACCACUUAUCGUGGUGGGAGACAGUGUCAGGCGGGCAGUUUGACUGGGGCGGUCGCCUCCUAAAAGGUAACGGAGGCGCUCAAAGGUUCCCUCAGAAUGGUUGGAAAUCAUUCAUAGAGUGUAAAGGCAUAAGGGAGCUUGACUGCGAGACCUACAAGUCGAGCAGGGUCGAAAGACGGACUUAGUGAUCCGGUGGUUCCGCAUGGAAGGGCCAUCGCUCAACGGAUAAAAGCUACCCCGGGGAUAACAGGCUUAUCUCCCCCAAGAGUUCACAUCGACGGGGAGGUUUGGCACCUCGAUGUCGGCUCAUCGCAUCCUGGGGCUGUAGUCGGUC